AUUGAACGCUGGCGGCAGGCUUAACACAUGCAAGUCGAGCGGAGAGAAGUAGCUUGCUACUGAUCUUAGCGGCGGACGGGUGAGUAAUGCUUAGGAAUCUGCCUAUUAGUGGGGGACAACAUUUCGAAAGGAAUGCUAAUACCGCAUACGUCCUACGGGAGAAAGCAGGGGAUCUUCGGACCUUGCGCUAAUAGAUGAGCCUAAGUCGGAUUAGCUAGUUGGGGGGGUAAAGGCCUACCAAGGCGACGAUCUGUAGCGGGUCUGAGAGGAUGAUCCGCCACACUGGGGCGGAGACACGGCCCAGACUCCUACGGGAGGCAGCAGUGGGGAAUAUUGGACAAUGGGCGGAAGCCUGAUCCAGCCAUGCCGCGUGUGUGAAGAAGGCCUUAUGGUUGUAAAGCACUUUAAGCGAGGAGGAGGCUACUUUAGUUAAUACCUAGAGAUAGUGGACGUUACUCGCAGAAUAAGCACCGGCUAACUCUGUGCCAGCAGCCGCCGUAACAC
rnacentral:rRNA from 1 species